AUUGAACGCUGGCGGCAGGCCUAACACAUGCAAGUCGAGCGAGCGGCGGACGGGUGAGUAAUGUAUGGGAAUCUGCCUGAUGGCGGGGGAUAACUACUGGAAACGGUAGCUAAUACCGCAUACCAUCAGAUGAACCCAUAUGGGAUUAGCUAGUAGGUGAGGUAAUGGCUUACCUAGGCGACGAUCCCUAGCUGGUCUGAGAGGAUGAUCAGCGACACUGGAACUGCGACACGGCCCAAAAUCCUACGGGAGGCAGCAGUGGGGAAUAUUGGACUAUGGGCGCAAGCCUGAUGCAGCCAUGCCGCAUGUAUGAAGAAGGCCUUCGGGUUGUAAAGUACUUUCAGUAGGGAGGCGUUACCGACAGAAGAAGCACCGGCUAACUCCGUGCCAGCAGCCGCGGUAAUUC
rnacentral:rRNA from 1 species